rnacentral:lncRNA from 1 species
CUCCUAUGCAGAGGACCCCAGCAAGUUUAUUGACUUAGGCAGUGGUCAUAAUUACCAUUUUUGAACAGAUUUUUCCUGAAGGGAAUGAGGAAAAAAAGGGGACAUUGUAUUUUUUUUUUUCCCUAAAUUCUCUUGACUUUGGACAUCUCAUGGCUAUUUUUUCCCCUUUAUUUAUGGAGUAAGAUAGGUGUUUGACUGUUGUUCCUUGGUACCGUACUUCACAAAGUACAGUGCCUGAUUUAUCCUUCCCUUGAAGAGUUUCUAGUCUUAAAUCAAAGUGAAGGAUUGUUGUUAAUGACUCAUUUUAGCCAACAGGAUAUAUAAGAUGCUUUCUGGAGCUUGGAGGAAACUGGCCUUGCUCUGAAGUGCUUACAUGGAAGGUUUUGAACAACAGGAAGAAAAAGUGAACCCUGCGAUAAUUGUUUAGGAUUGAGAAGAUGAUAUGAUCAUGCUAAGAAGAGUAAUGCAUGUACCUUGUUACAAAGUUACAAAGGAAGGAGCUGUACAGAUGAUGUGCUGCGUUACAGCUUCGGUGGGGUGCUCUACGCAGUGCAAGCUGAAGAAGACCUGUCUCACUUGGCCCAGCUGAAUUCGUAGCCCCAUGAAUGCCAGAUCAGAACUGUCAUGGAAGCCAGAAGUCUUGUUAUUCUUUUAAAAACAUUCUUAUUAAAUUACUUCCUUGGUACAUAGCAAGUAUUUAACUGCUGAGAGAUGGUAUGCCUGAAAACUGGACUGUAGAUCAUCUUGUGAUUCCAUAAGUGUGGAUUAGCAGUCCGAAAAAGUGUGAAACCAUUCCAAAGAGGCUAAGCAAUUUUGAUGUUUAUGUGACUGAAUUUGGGACUAAUGGUAUCAGAGGAGAUGGAGAAGAGAAAAACUCAAGUCUUUCAGACAAUAUGAGAGAUCUGGAGAAUGUAUUACAGCAAACUGUAACUGGUUAAAGAAAUGGAAACAUUGGGCAACGAAAGUAUUUUCUAGUUUAAAGAUAUUCAGAUCUAUUCUAGAUCAAAUUUUGGUGCUUCCAAGUAAUUUGUAGGUAACAGCCCUUUCUGGUGGGUCCAGGCAGUUAGUCUGGGUGGCGUGAGGCCCUUUCAAACUCUGGCAUGCUUUAGCAGACUAUAUCAGCGUCAGAGCCCUGGUUCAUCGUGCUUUCUCUGAUCGUCACCAGACCUAGAGCAUCUCUGAGGAUUUGGUAAGUGCCUGAGAGAUUCCUUCUGAGAAGAACAUGUAGGUGAGGAUUUGUUUUGUUUGGCACCGCAGCUGAUGUCUGAAGAACAUUUUUACUCUUUAAUUCAUAGUUUUCCUGAAAAUGUCUUGCAGGGGGUCCACUGGCACAAUGCUAGAUGGGCUGGCAGCAAUCAAAAAAAGACUGAUCAGAAAAGUCAAAAUUGACAGGUUUUUAAGAAGUCGUUUUUUAAUGUUGAAUUUUAAAUCUAUUUUAAUAAAAAUU